rnacentral:rRNA from 1 species
AGUGAACGCUGGCGGUAGGCCUAACACAUGCAAGUCGAACGGCAGCACAGUAAGGGCUUGCUCUUACGGGUGGCGAGUGGCGGACGGGUGAGGAAUACAUCGGAAUCUACUUUUUCGUGGGGGAUAACGUAGGGAAACUUACGCUAAUACCGCAUACGACCUACGGGUGAAAGCAGGGGAUCUUCGGACCUUGCGCGAUUGAAUGAGCCGAUGUCGGAUUAGCUAGUUGGCGGGGUAAAGGCCCACCAAGGCGACGAUCCGUAGCUGGUCUGAGGGGAUGAUCAGCCACACUGGAACUGAGACACGGUCCAGACUCCUACGGGGGGCAGCAGUGGGGAAUAUUGGACAAUGGGCGCAAGCCUGAUCCAGCCAUACCGCGUGGGUGAAGAAGGCCUUCGGGUUGUAAAGCCCUUUUGUUGGGAAAGAAAAGCAGCAGGUUAAUACCCCGCUGUUCUGACGGUACCCAAAGAAUAAGCACCGGCUAACUUCGUG